UACGUAGGGGGGCAAGCGUUGUCCGGAUUUAUUGGGCGUAAAGCGCACGCAGGCGGUGCAGUAAGUUUCGAGUGACAGGUGGUGGCUUAACUGCCACAGGCCUUGGAAAACUGCUGGACUUGAGGGCUUGAGAGGGACGCGGAAUUCCAGGUGGAGCGGUGAAAUGCGUAGAGAUCUGGAAGAACACCAAAGGCGAAGGCAGCGUCCUGGCGAGCAACUGACGCUCAUGUGCGAAAGCUAGGGGAGCGAACGGG
rnacentral:rRNA from 1 species